GGAGGGGCCAUGCCUCAGUGGUAAAGAACCUGCUUUGCAUGCAGGAGGACCCAGGCUCAAUGCCUGUCGUCUCCU
rnacentral:tRNA from 1 species